UACCAAAGCCAUAUCACCCUGCAGCCCAAGACCGGUUACUCACUAAAGCUAAGCAGGGCUGAGCCUGGUUAGUAUCUGGAUGGGAGACCACUAGGGAACACUAGGUUGCUGUUGGAA
rfam:Danio rerio chromosome 7, GRCz11 reference primary assembly.